GAAUAUUGGACAAUGGGGGGAACCCUGAUCCAGCCAUGCCGCGUGUGUGAAGAAGGCCUUUUGGUUGUAAAGCCCUUUUGUUGGGAAAGAAAAGCAGUCGGCUAAUACCCGGUUGUUCUGCCGGUGACCAAAGAAUAAGCACCGGCUAACUUCGUGCCAGCCACCGCGGUAAUACGAAGGGUGCAAGCGUUACUCGGAAUUACUGGGCGUAAAGCGUGCGUAGGUGGUUGUUUAAGUCUGUUGUGAAAGCCCUGGGCUCAACCUGGGAAUUGCAGUGGAUACUGGGCGACUAGAGUGUGGUAGAGGGUAGUGGAAUUCCCGGUGUAGCAGUGAAAUGCGUAGAGAUCGGGAGGAACAUCCAUGGCGAAGGCAGCUACCUGGACCAACACUGACACUGAGGCACGAAAGCGUGGGGAGCAAACAG
rnacentral:rRNA from 1 species